AACUUUACGACGGUAGGUUACAGACCUACCGUGGUUAUAACAGGUGACGGGGAAUUAGGGUUACGAUUCCGGAGAGGGAGCCUGAGAAACGGCUGCCACAUCUAAGGAAGGCAGCAGGCGCGCAAAUUACCCACUCCCGGCACGGGGAGGUAGUGACGAAAAAUAACAAUACGGGACUCUACCGAGGCCUCGUAAUUGGAAUGAGUACAAUUUAAAAUCAUUAAUGAGGAUCUAUUGGAGGGCAAGUCUGGUGCCAGCAGCCGCGGUAAUUCCAGCUCCAAUAGCGUAUAUUAAAGUUGUUGCGGUUAAAAAGCUCGUAGUUGGAUCUCAGUUCUGGGUGAGCACGGGUCCGCCAUAACAUUGGUGGACUGCUGACUUGCCCGGUGCAAAAUCGCCCGGCUUCCCCCACGGUGCUCUUCACCGAGUGUCGUGGGUGGCCGACACGUUUACUUUGAGAAAACCAGAGUGCUUAAAGCAGGCGCAAGACGCCCGAAUGACUGUGCAUGGAAUAAUGGAAGAGGAUCUCGCUUCUGUAUUUGUUGGUUCCUCGGAAGGCGAGAUAUGAUAAUANAAGCCGUCGGGGGCAUCCGUAUGCGACGUAGAGGUGAAACUCUGGAUCGUCCACGACGAACUUCUGCGAAGCCUUUGCCNGAAUGUUUCGUU
rnacentral:rRNA from 1 species